ACGCCUUAAACUAAUGAGUAAGGAAAAUAACGCUCCGGUGGAAUAACCGGUGCUCUGGUUAUGUCCAGCUCAAUGUUUGCAGGGCAAAGGCCUUCUCGGUAUGUCCUUCUACUUUUAAGGACGUGCUCGAUGAUUGUGGCCUACCC
rfam:Hymenolepis diminuta genome assembly, scaffold: HDID_scaffold0000039